rnacentral:rRNA from 1 species
CAUUAAACUUUUCAGCUAGAGUAUGAUAGAGGAAAGCAGAAUUUCUAGUGUAGAGGUGAAAUUCGUAGAUAUUAGAAAGAAUACCAAUUGCGAAGGCAGCUUUCUGGAUCAUUACUGACACUGAGGAACGAAAGCAUGGGUAGCGAAGAGGAUUAGAUACCCUCGUAGUCCACGCCGUAAACGAUGUGUGUUAGACGUUGGAAAUUUAUUUUCAGUGUCGCAGGGAAACCGAUAGACACACCGCCUGGGGAGUACGACCGCAAGGUUAAAACUCAAAUGAAUUGACGGGGACCCGCACAAGUAGUGGAGCAUGUGGUUUAAUUCGAAGAUACUCGCAGAACCUUACCAACACUUGACAUGUUCGUCGCGACUCUAAGAGAUUAGAGUUUUCGGUUCGGCCGGACGAAACACAGGUGCUGCAUGGCUGUCGUCAGCUCGUGUCGUGAGAUGUUGGGUUAAGUCCCGCAACGAGCGCAACCCUCACUUUUAGUUGCCAUCAUUAAGUUGGGCACUCUGAAAGAACUGCCAGUGAUAAGCUGGAGGAAGGUGGGGAUGACGUCAAGUCCUCAUGGCCCUUACGUGUUGGGCUACACACGUGCUACAAUGGUAUCUACAACAGGAAGCAAGACUGCGAAGUUAAGCAAAUCCCUAAAAGAUACCUCAGUUCGGAUUGCACUCUGCAACUCGAGUGCAUGAAGCUGGAAUUACUGGUAAUCGUGGAUCAGCGUGCCACGGUGAAUGCGUUCCCGGGUCUUGUACACACCGCCCGUCACACCAUGGGAGUUGGUUCUACCUUAAGGCAAGGUUUUAAACCCUUGACCACGGUAUAGUCAGCGACUGGGGUGAAGUCGUAACAAGGUAACCGUA